GAUCAUGGCUCAGAGUGAACGCUGCGGCGUGCUUAACACAUGCAAGUCGAACGAGAACGGAUUAUAGCUUGCUAUAAUUGUCAGCUAAGUGGCGCACGGGUGAGUAAUGUAUAGGUAAUAUGCCUCUUACUAAGGGAUAACAAAUGGAAACGUUUGCUAAUACCUUAUACUCCUUAUUAACAGAAGUUAAUAAGGGAAAGAUUUAUCGCCUAAGGAUGAGCCCGCGUAAGAUUAGCUUGUUGGUGAGGUAAAAGCUCACCAAGGCGACGAUCUUUAGCUGGUCUGAGAGGAUGAUCAGCCACACUGGGACUGAGACACGGCCCAGACUCCUACGGGAGGCAGCAGUGGGGAAUAUUGGACAAUGGGCGAAAGCCUGAUCCAGCAAUGCCGCGUGAGUGAUGAAGGCCUUAGGGUUGUAAAGCUCUUUUACCAGGGAUGAUAAUGACAGUACCUGGAGAAUAAGCUCCGGCUAACUCCGUG
rnacentral:rRNA from 1 species